AGUCAUAUGCUUGUCUCAAAGAUUAAGCCAUGCAUGUCUCAGUACAUGCCGUAUAAAGGUGAAACCGCGAAUGGCUCAUUAAAUCAGUUAUGGUUCCUUAGAUCGUACCCACAUUUACUUGGAUAACUGUGGUAAUUCUAGAGCUAAUACAUGCAAACCAGAGUCCCGACCAGAGAUGGGAGGGACGCUUUUAUUAGAUCAAAACCAAUCGGUGGCGGGGCUUCCGCUCUCGUCCAUCGUUUACCUUGGUGACUCUGAAUAACUUUGUGCUGAUCGCACGGUCUCGUACCGGCGACGCAUCUUUCAAAUGUCUGCCUUAUCAACUUUCGAUGGUAGGUUCUGCGCCUACCAUGGUUGUUACGGGUAACGGGGAAUCAGGGUUCGAUUCCGGAGAGGGAGCCUGAGAAACGGCUACCACAUCCAAGGAAGGCAGCAGGCGCGCAAAUUACCCACUCCCGGCACGGGGAGGUAGUGACGAAAAAUAACGAUACGGGACUCAUCCGAGGCCCCGUAAUCGGAAUGAGUACACUUUAAAUCCUUUAACGAGGAUCCAUUAGAGGGCAAGUCUGGUGCCAGCAGCCGCGGUAAUUCCAGCUCUAAUAGCGUAUAUUAAAGUUGUUGCGGUUAAAAAGCUCGUAGUUGAAUCUGUGUGUCACGAUGUUGGUUCACCGCUCGCGGUGUUUAACUGGCAUGCCGUGAGACGUCCUACCGGUGGGCUUAGCUCCUUACGGGGCGGUCCAAAUAAUAUCCUAUCGCGGUGCUCUUCAUCGAGUGUCGAGGUGGGCCGGUACGUUUACUUUGAACAAAUUAGAGUGCUUAAAGCAGGCUGUCUUCGCCUGAAUACUGUGUGCAUGGAAUAAUGGAAUAGGACCUCGGUUCUAUUUUGUUGGUUUUCGGAACCCCGAGGU
rnacentral:rRNA from 1 species